CUUAGGUCAAUUCACUUGACACAGCUAGAAAUAAUUGUCUGCGUUAACCAUUAAUAGGUCCCUGUUCAAAGUUCCCUGCCAUCUGCCUCCAUCCCCUGUCCAUGCACCGUCUGCUUGCUUCCCAUGCUGCCUGUCUGCUGCCUGCCCAUGCCCAUGCCAUGCCCAUGCUAUACCCAUGCCCACACUGUAGAGCUCAGUGACACCAGUCCACACUUUCAGUCUACAUGCCUUGCUCAGCCCCAGUGCUCAGAGUAAAACUACAGGACAACAAGGGGUCAGUGUCUAUGGGGAGACCUUAUUGCUCUUUACAAAUCCCUGAAAGGAGGUUGCAGUGAAGUGGGGGUUGAUCUCCCAGCUCCAGCUACUGUGUGUCUAAAAGGGAGAAAGAAAUCAUCCCUUCUUUUCCUUCAAGACCAUCUGUCCUGUUUUCAGAAGCUACUUGCCAAGAAAGCAAACCCAGUGCACAGCUAACACUGAAGAC
ensembl:lncRNA